GACGAACGCUGGCGGCGUGCUUAACACAUGCAGGUCGAACGGAAAGGCCCUGCUUUUGUGGGGUGCUCGAGUGGCGAACGGGUGAGUAACACGUGAGUAACCUGCCCUUGACUUUGGGAUAACUUCAGGAAACUGGGGCUAAUACCGGAUAGGAGCUCCUGCUGCAUGGUGGGGGUUGGAAAGUUUCGGCGGUUGGGGAUGGACUCGCGGCUUAUCAGCUUGUUGGUGGGGUAGUGGCUUACCAAGGCUUUGACGGGUAGCCGGCCUGAGAGGGUGACCGGCCACAUUGGGACUGAGAUACGGCCCAGACUCCUACGGGAGGCAGCAGUGGGGAAUAUUGCACAAUGGGCGGAAGCCUGAUGCAGCAACGCCGCGUGCGGGAUGACGGCCUUCGGGUUGUAAACCGCUUUCGCCUGUGGCGAAGCGUGAGUGACGGUAAUGGGUAAAGAAGCACCGGCUAACUACGUG
rnacentral:rRNA from 1 species